rnacentral:rRNA from 1 species
AGAGUUUGAUCCUGGCUCAGGAUGAACGCUAGCGGCGUGCCUAAUGCAUGCAAGUCGAACGGGAUCCUUUGAUUCGUCGAAGGUGAGAGUGGCGAACGGGUGAGUAACACGUUGGUGACCUGCCCCAGAGAGGGGGACAACCAGUGGAAACGCUGGCUAAUACCCCGGACGUCAAAGCGUUUAGAAAACUUUGACUGAAGCUCCGGCGCUCUGGGAGGGGCCUGCGGCCCAUCAGCUUGUUGGUAGGGUAACGGCCUACCAAGGCGAAGACGGGUAGGGGGCGUGAGAGCGUGACCCCCCACACUGGUACUGAUACACGGACCGGAUACCUGCGGGUAGCAGCAGCAAGGAAUAUUGCCCAAUGACGAAAGUCUGAGGCAGCAACGCCGCGUGAAGGAUGAAGGCUUUCGGGUUGUAAACUUCUUUUUUGGGGGAAGAGAAAGGACGGUACCCCAAGAAUAAGAUCCGGCUAACUACGUGCCAGCAGCCGCGGUAAAACGUAGGGAUCGAGCGUUAUCCGGAUUUACUGGGCGUAAAGCGCGUGCAGGCGGUUUUCUAAGUCGGACGUGAAAGCUCUCGGCCCAACCGGGAGAGGCCGUUCGAAACUGGAAGACUUGAGGAUGGUAGAGGCGAGUGGAAUUCCCGGUGUAGUGGUGAAAUGCGUAGAUAUCGGGAGGAACACCAGUGGCGAAGGCGGCUCGCUGGGCCAUUCCUGACGCUGAGACGCGAAAGCUAGGGGAGAGAACGGGAUUAGAAACCCCGGUAUUCCUAGCCGUAAACGAUGUCAACUAGGUGUAGGGGGUAUCCAACCCCCCUGUGCUGUAGCUAACGCGUUAAGUUGACCGCCUGGGGACUACGGCCGCAAGGCUAAAACUCAAAGGAAUUGACGGGGACCCGCACAAGCAGCGGAGCGUGUGGUUUAAUUCGAGACUACGCGAAGAACCUUACCAGGGUUUGACAUGUACGUGGUAGGAAGGUGAAAGCCGACUGACCCUUCGGGGAGCGUACACAGGUGCUGCAUGGCUGUCGUCAGCUCGUGCCGUGAGGUGUUAGGUUAAGUCCUGUAACGAGCGCAACCCUCGUCGUUAGUUAUACGUGUCUAACGAGACUGCCGGUGAUAAGCCGGAGGAAGGUGGGGAUGACGUCAAGUCAGCAUGGCCUUUAUAUCCUGGGCUACACACACGCUACAAUGGCCGGUACAAUGGGUAGCCAAGCCGCGAGGCGGAGCCAAUCCUCCAAAGCCGGUCUCAGUUCGGAUUGUAGGCUGCAACUCGCCUGCAUGAAGUCGGAGUUGCUAGUAAACGCGCGUCAGCAACAGUGCGUUGAAUACGUUCCCGGGCCUUGUACACACCGCCCGUCACGUCAUGGAAGUUGGCAACGCCUGAAGUCAGUGAGCUAACCCUAACGGGAGGCAGCUGCCCAAGGCGGGGUCGGUAACAGGGACGAAGUCGUAACAAGGUA